UAAUACGUAGGUGGCGAGCGUUGUCCGGAUUUACUGGGCGUAAAGCGCGCGUAGGCGGCUUGUUAAGUCUGGGGUGAAAUCUCCCGGCUCAACCGGGAGGGGUCCUCGGAUACUGGCAGGCUGGAGGGGAGCAGAGGAGAGCGGAAUUCCCCGGUGUAGUGGUGAAAUGCGUAGAUAUCGGGAGGAACACCAGUGGCGAAGGCGGCUCUCUGGGCUCUACCUGACGCUGAGGCGCGAAAGCGUGGGGAGCGAAACCGGAUUAGAUACCCGGGUAGUCCACGCUGUAAACGAUGGACACUAGGUGUGGGAGGUAUCGACCCCUUCCGUGCCGAAGCUAACGCCAUAAGUGUCCCGCCUGGGGAGUACGGCCGCAAGGCUAAAACUCAAAGGAAUUGACGGGGCC
rnacentral:rRNA from 1 species